rnacentral:rRNA from 1 species
GUCCACGCCCUAAACGAUGUCGACUAGCUGUUGGGCUCAUAAAAGGGCUUAGUGGCGCAGCUAACGCGUUAAGUCGACCGCCUGGGGAGUACGGCCGCAAGGCUAAAACUCAAAGGAAUUGACGGGGGCCCGCACAAGCGGUGGAGCAUGUGGUUUAAUUCGAUGCAACGCGAAGAACCUUACCAGGUCUUGACAUCCUCGGAACUUGGCAGAGAUGCCUUGGUGCCUUCGGGAAUCGAGAGA